CUUUAUUAUUUUUAGUAUAUAUGAAGAUGUCUUUUAAGACAGCAUGUAACAAGUUAUAAAAGCUGUAAAAUUUCAAAAGUCUACAUUUUCUAUUAUCUUUUUAUCAAUCUGUAACAGACAUGCUUAUGUGAAUGCUCUGCCCUUUAUGAGUUUGGUACUAGUUUAAUUCCAUUUUAUAGAUGAAGGAAUUGAAACUCAAAGAUAUUAGAUAACAUGCCCCAAAAGUGAUUUUCUUGAUGCUAUUUCUAUUUGCUUUCAUGAAUUAAUCAGAAUUCUAUUUAUUUUCAAACACGUUUCCAUCCACUUACUUUUUCAAUGCUUUUGUUUAAUAGAGGCGGAGAGAUUGUGGUGGAAAAUUUUGUCACUUACCAAUGCUGUGACUUCAGUCAAGUCACUUACCUCUCUGUGGAUUACUUUUUUCACUUCUAAAAUGUGUAUUUUAAUAAUAAUACUCCUAUCAAUACUUUAUCAUUUAAAAAAAAAAUAUAUCUCAAAGUGCUUUGUCAUCUGCAGUAGAAAGAAUUUACUAUAAAUUAACCAUUUAUUCAGUCACAUAUCCAACUUUUUUUCAGUAUGUACUGUGUGUUCGACACUGAGUUAGGAGCUCAUAUUAACCUAGUCCUGCAUUCAGUCUUUCAGAGUUCUUAAAACAGUAUCAGCUAACUUUAAUUCAUAUUAUGAUGCUCCUGGCCUAGAAGCCAUUUAUAUUAGUUUGCUAUUGCCGCAUAACAAAUUACCACAGUUUGAAACAACUCCUGUUUAUUAGUUCAUAAUUUCUGUAGAUUAGAAGUCUGAGCAUGGCUCAACUAGGUCCUCUGUUCAGAGUCUAACAAUGCUGAAAUUAAGAUGUCAGGCAGCCUAUGUUCUCAUCUGAAAGCUUGACUAGGGAAAAAUCCAUUUCCUAGUUCAUUCUGGUUGUUGGUGAACUUGUUUUUUGUGGUUGUAUUACUGAGGCCCCAGUUUGCUUGCUGAUUGUCAGCCUAGGGUCACUCUUGGCAAUUAGAGGUCACCCUACCCAUGUUGGCAGCAUGCUUUCUCAAAGACAGCAAGAGAAUCCUUGAAAUCAGGAAAAGUCUAAAUUUAUUCAUAUAGGGCUCUCUCAGUAGGAUAGGCCUACCCAGGCAAAAUCCUUUUACCUUUGCCAUAUAAUAUCACAUAAUCGUGGCCAUGAUAUCCAUCAUAUUUGGAGGUCCCACUCAUACUCAAGGAGAGGGAAUUAUACAGGACAUUAACACCAGGGGGUAGGAAUCUUAGGACCAUCUUAAAAUUCUGCCUACCUACCACAAUAUGUGAGGAUAAUUUGAUUUGAACAGUAGAGGAUGUGCCUUAUUCUCAGAAGGUCAUGAAGAUAGUCUAGAUUUGGAAGGUGAAAUGGAGAAGAAGUAAAUUAUAUGCCCUAGUGGAUGUGGACUCUAAGCCUGCUAUCACUGAAAUGUACUACUUUGACUCUAAAAUUAGCCAGUCUUGACAAUCAGAAUAUGAGAGGCAUGCUGAAUUAUCAAAUUAUGUUUAAUGUCUACUAUAUUGGUCUUAGUCCCUGAUAUCAUAAGACAAGACAAAUUUCAAUCCCAAGAUCUGAUUAAUGAAUGUAUCCAAGUGGUUAUUAAGACAGUGGAAAUGAAAUAGGAUCUCAAUAUUUUGAGAUAUUGAGCUAGAGACACACAUACAUAGACAGUGGCACAAAGCUGUCUGCAUUCAUGACCCAGUCCUUGAAAGUUCAUAUUAACAAAUGUCAAAUACAAUGUCAGCUAUUUUAAUCACUUUAUAUUUGAUUGUUCCAUCACAAUAGCUUCCCUCCUUGUUCCUGUAGCUAAAACUGGGAAGUGACUACCUGUAGUCAUAAUACGUAAAAAAUAGUCCAUGCUCUGAUGGGUCAUUAUUACUUAUUAAAUAUGUAAUAGGUUGCAAGACACUCUCAGCUCUGUUUCAUUUCCCUUGGUGAAGAUAGUAUUGCUUGUUAGGAGAAGAAUACUUGCAGUUCUUGGAGAGUUUUAUAAAUAGUAGCAGGGGAAACUUCAAGAUACUGAUUAUUUUCUCCUAGUUAGCCCAGGCUGAAUUGAAUUUACAAGCUUAAUAACCUCAAGGGAGAAAAUUACUAAAGUUAAAUACAAGAAAGAGGAGAGAAAAAUUUUUGUCUGUACAUAGAAAACUAAAGAAUUAAAGAAAUCGUUUUUUUCUGUGAUCUACACAAUCUUCAGUGUAUUAAGAAUAGAAAAAGGUCACUGGGCUCAACAAGCAACCCCCUGCUGUUUUCCUCAUCGCUGGUUUCCAGUUCACUCUCUAUUCGCUCGUUUCUUCUCUUUGUCUAAUACAUAUUGACUUUCUGAUUUCACAGACUCUGUGAUAUUUUGCAGCCAGGGUGGUAACCCAGAAGAUUUUCUUUUACUGCAAAACAAAGCGUCAUACCUCUGAAGAUGUUUCAUAUAUCCUGGUUUUUAAAUGUUGUUUAGAAGAGGAAGAACUUCUGUAGCUUAAGAUAUUGAUGAUCGAUAAUCUUUUCAGACUGCUCUACAUUAUCUCCAGAAUUUCCUUCUAUGAUAUGGAUGUCAAUUCUAGAAGACUUGUUGCUGGUGCUCUCUUACUGGAAUGUGUCUAUGGAAGGUUUUCAAAGUAUAAACAGAACUCACAUUCCUUCCCGAGUUGUUUCUUAAGUAGUUUGAGAUGGAAAUGUCAACAUUUCAGUUGUGUUAUCAUGCCACAAAUAACAAUGAUACUUGCUCAAGCACAGGCAGUGAUGAGUUUGUUGGGAAUGCCGUCUGCCUGACAGAAAUUAUAAGAUAUCAUUAAUCUUAAGAAGCAUCUUGAUUUCAAAGAUGUUAAAAUAUGUAAAAAAAAAAUUGUAACUUAU
rnacentral:lncRNA from 1 species